GACGAACGCUGGCGGCAUGCCUAAUACAUGCAAGUUGAACGAAAUAUAUUGACCGGAGUGCUUGCACAAAGGAUGAUAUAAUUUAGUAGCGAACGGGUGAGUAACACGUAAGAAAGCUACCUUAGAGUGGGGGAUAACAGUUGGAAACGACUGCUAAUACCGCAUAAGAUAUAGGAUCGCAUGGUGCUAUAUUGAAAGGUCCUUAUGGGAUUGUUCUAAGAUGCUCUUGCGGCGUAUUAGCUAGUUGGUAAGGUAAUGGCUUACCAAGGCAAUGAUACGUAGCCGAACUGAGAGGUUGAUCGGCCACAUUGGGACUGAGACACGGCCCAAACUCCUACGGGAGGCAGCAGUAGGGAAUCUUCCACAAUGGACGAAAGUCUGAUGGAGCAACGCCGCGUGAGUGAAGAAGGUUUUCGGAUCGUAAAACUCUGUUGUCAGAGAAGAACGUGUGCGAGAGUAACUGUUCGUGCAGUGACGGUAUCUGGCCAGAAAGCCACGGCUAACUACGUGCCAGCCGCCGCAGUAA
rnacentral:rRNA from 1 species